rnacentral:rRNA from 1 species
AGUGCUUCAGCAGUCAUUCUCAGACCGUGCAAAGGUAGCAUAAUAAUUAGUUUUUUAAUUAAAAGCUAGAAUGAAUGAUUGGACGAGGGAAUAACUGUCUCUAUUUAAUUUUAAUUAGAAUUUAAUUUUUAAGUUAAAAAGCUUAAAUAUUAUUAAAAGACGAGAAGACCCUAUAGAGUUUUAUAUUAAUAUAUUUUAAAAAUUUAUAGGAUUUAAAGUUAAAAAUUUAUUUAAUAUUUAAUUGGGGUGAUAGAGAAAUAUAAUUAACUUUUUUUUUUAUUAACAUUUAUUUAUGAAAAAUUGAUCCAUUUUUAUGAUUAAAAGAUUAAAUUACCUUAGGGAUAACAGCGUAAUUUCUUUAGAGAGUUCUUAUCGAAAAAGAAGUUUGCGACCUCGAUGUUGGAUUAAAAUUAAUUUUUGGUGUAGAGGCUAAAUAAUUAAGUCUGUUCGACUUUUAAAAUUUUACAUGAUC